rnacentral:tRNA from 1 species
GGAGAGGUGGGAGAGUGGCUUAAUCCACCGGUUUGCUAAACCGGCAUACCGUGUAAAGCGGUAUCGGGGGUUCGAAUCCCCCCCUCUCCG